UACAGAGACUGCAAGCGUUAUUCGGAUUCACUGGGCGUAAAGGGUGCGCAGGCGGCCGGGUGUGUCAGAUGUGAAAUCCCGAGGCUUAACCUCGGAACUGCGUCUGAAACUACUCGGCUAGAGUACUGGAGAGGGUAACGGAAUUCACGGUGUAGCAGUGAAAUGCGUAUAUAUCGUGAGGAACACCAGAGGCGAAGGCGGUUACCUGGACAGUUACUGACGCUCAGGCACGAAAGCAUGGGGAGCAAAAGGG
rnacentral:rRNA from 1 species